rfam:Cyberlindnera jadinii NRRL Y-1542 unplaced genomic scaffold CYBJAscaffold_6, whole genome shotgun sequence.
UCCCUGUUAGCUCAGUCGGUAGAGCGUUCGGCUUUUACAGAACUAACUAGGGGAAGUUGACCGAAAUGUCAGGGGUUCGAGCCCCCUAUGGGGAG